rnacentral:misc_RNA from 2 species
CCGAGUUUACAACUCCCAAACCCACUGUGAACCUUACCUAUCGUUGCUUCGGCGGGAUCGCCCUGGCGCCUCGCGGCACCAGAUCUCAGGCGCCCGCCGGGGGCCCGAAACUCUUGUUUUAUUAUCAGUGGUUUCUCUCCGAGUGGCACAAGCAAAAAUAAAUCA